ACAGCAAGUAAAGAGGGAAAAAAAAAAUGAGGACCACAAAAUGCCCUCUUCUCCUAACAGUAUUUUUUCUAGCUCUUUCAUUUGGUACACUGAUCAGUGAGGCGAAAAGCUGUGCCAAGCCCAUACCUCUCCCGGGUGGGAAUUGUACGGCAGAACUAUGUUUCCUUGAAUGUUUUCCACAGGGGCAUUAUGCAGCUUUCAAUGCUAAAUGUUACAAUAGCACUCUUUGUUGCUGUGGAGUUUUGUAAUGCUUUGUUGCCAUUAAUCUAUGAAUAAAAUAUGAUUUUUUAUAAUAAUUAUA